rnacentral:rRNA from 1 species
GCACGUAGUUAGCCGGGACUUCUUCUGCAGGUACCGUCAGUUUCCCUUCGUCCCUGCCGAAAGGGGUUUACAGCCCGAAGGCCUUCAUCCCCCACGCGGCGUCGCUGCGUCACGCUUUCGCGCAUUAGCGCAAGAUCCCCCACUGCUGCCUCCCGUAGGAGUCUGGGCCGUGUCUCAGUCCCAGUGUGGCUGGCCGUCCUCUCAGACCAGCUACCCGUCGUCGCCUUGGUGGGCCGUUACCCCACCAACAAGCUGAUAGGCCGCGGGCCCAUCCUGGACCGUCGGAGCUUUCCCGGCGCGACCAUGCGAUCGCGCCGGAGUAUCCGGUAUUAGCUCAGGUUUCCCUGGGUUAUCCCGGUGUCCGGGGCAGGUUGCCCACGUGUUACUCACCCGUUCGCCGCUCUCCCCUCGGAAGGGUUACCCCUCCUGAGGUUCCCGCUCGACUUGCAUGUGUUAGGCACGCCGCCAGCGUUCGUC